rnacentral:rRNA from 1 species
GACGAACGCUGGCGGCGUGCUUAACACAUGCAAGUGGAGCGACGAACCAGGGCUUGCCCUGGGGCAGAGCCGCGAACGGGUGAGUAACACGUGGGUAACGUGCCCCGAUGAUCGGGACAACCCGGGGAAACCCGGGCUAAUACCGAAUGUGCACCUCCCACAUCAGCGGGAGGUGGAAAGGAAGCUUCGGCCUCCGCAUCGGGAUCGGCCCGCGGGCCAUUAGCUUGUUGGUGAGGUGACGGCUCACCAAGGCUGCGAUGGGUAGCUGGUCUGAGAGGACGAUCAGCCACACUGGGACUGAGACACGGCCCAGACUCCUACGGGAGGCAGCAGUGGGGAAUCUUGCGCAAUGCGCGAAAGCGUGACGCAGCAACGCCGCGUGGGGGAAGAAGGCCUUCGGGUUGUAAACCCCUUUCAGGAGGGACGAAGCCCGGACCGUUAAUAGCGGCUCCGGGUGACGGUACCUCCAGAAGAAGCCCCGGCUAACUACGUGCCAGCCGCCGCCGUAAAAC